rnacentral:miRNA from 1 species
AUCACCUGGGGAUCUUGUUAAACUGAAGAGUUUGAUCCAGUAGGUAUGGGGGGGACUUGAGAUUCUGUAUUUCUAACAAGUUUCCAGUGAUGC